UACUUAAAGCGAGGUUACCCUUUGUAUAUUCGGUUUAUUGACGUGAAUAUACAAGGGCAAGCUCUCUGUGAGCA
rnacentral:pre_miRNA from 1 species